rnacentral:lncRNA from 1 species
ACCCUACUCUAAUUAGGUUUUGAUAUCUGGAGCUCAUAGGUGGGAGACAGCUAAUACAUACUUACAAGACAUUUAUUGCAUAGUCAAACCAUGGAUCCAGAAGAACAAGUCAAUAAGUCAAAUCAAGAUGUGCAUGUGUGGCGAAUGAAUGGUGUAUGGUGAUGAUGAUGAUAACAAUGGUGAAAGUCUAAUUCUACUUGUGCUCUUUUGAGGGAUACAUACCUUUCUUGCUCUUUUGAAACUUUUUGAGGAGAAUGAGAUGCUCUAUAUUUUCUUUUUCUUUCCUCUUAGGUGGGUAUCUUGUACCCCUAAUUCUACUGUCGGACACUUGUCCAUUUUUACCUCUCGUCUCACUUUUUUUCUUUUCUUUCGAGGUUCCGGGCACUUGCACCUUUUUAUUUCCUCGUUUCUUUUUUUUCUCUCUUUUUUUUCUUUUUUUUCUUUUUUUUUUCUAGAGCACUCAUCUCCUGAAAUAAUAUAGCAAGUGGUAGUAACCAAGAUAACUUGAGCAUUUAUUUCAUAGGGGAAAACAAAAAUGUUUUUGGCUAUUCUCUCCUGGAUUUGGAGUAGAAUAUUUUUGGGUGGUUCUGGAGAUGGAAAUGGAUAUAUAUAGAUGGUACUUCCGGAGUAGAAGUAGCAUGUGUGAGUGAACGUGCAAGUGAAUAUUGAUUCAACCACAUGACAAGCUCCUUAGGGUCUACACAGCUUGACCACACUCAGUGCUCAUAAGCAGUAAAAAGUAAAUGUGUGGUUCAUAGUCUAAUAAGCAUGUAUAUAUGGCUGUGGUAGGAAUUUAAACUCUCAUCAUAUAGGAACUCAUCAUGCGAUAUUUUAAAGAUUUUCAAAGAUAAAAUUCUCCAGAAUUCUAGCAUCUCUAGGAACAGAUAAACAACAGCUCAACCUUCUCAUAUCGUAUCCGUUAACUACUUAGACUUUAGAUCAAGUACUCUCCCCACAAGUUCAGGUUUAGAGCAAAUCUUAAUUAAUAACAGUCAUGCCUAAACUUGAGAGAGAUUUCAAUUUUUAGAACUAGUCAUGGCAGAGCAACUAUACAUCAUUUCCAUGUGAGAGCUUAUCAUGAGGAUUCAUAGCAAACUUUAUUUAUUUAUUUAUUUAGCAAACUAAGCAAAUAUAUAUAUAAGCACAAAAUCUUUAUUUGGGUUUAUAUGAUUAUGCAUCUUUUUACUAUUAGAGUAAAGUAUAAACGUGAGUAGAAUACUUAGCUGGAUAAAUGGGGGUGCUCUCCCCCAAGCUAGAUUUUUGACGUAAUUUCUUCUGAUGUAGCUAGCAAGUGGUGGAGGUGUAUUUGAAUGUCGGCAGCACCCUGACAGCGAUUAGGAUGUCCUCCGUCUGCUAGUCUUCUUUGAUCCUUGAAUUCUGUGGAGCUCAAAUAGACAACAAAGCUUUGUGGAACUAGUUAAGUGUUAGCAUAAAUAUCUAGCCUUUAUCAUGUUGAGCCUCCUCAUUAAAUGUUACACUCUUUAGUAGGAUCAUGAAUUUAUUUUUAUAUUCUUAUUUUUAUAGCGCAUAAAUAUAUUUAUUUUAUUUUUAUGCCACCACAGUGAAUGUACUUAUGGGUUUUAUGCCAUGAGCAUACUCACAUGGGGCUUACUAUUUUUUAACAUUUAUUUUCUUUUCAAGAUGAUAUGAACCUGAUUAACUAAGCAAACUAUUUUAAAUAAUUGAAAGGAAAUGGAUAACUACCAAGUUUACCUCUUGGCAAGGCGUUCGGUGUUUUUAAGUCCUCCGAACAGGACUCUUCGUUUUCUCAGUCGUCCUAGGAUUCGCUGGAUGGCGUAGUCGGUGGUUCCAGUGGUGCUUCUUCUUCAUGUAUAACUAUCUUCUCUCUACACACCUGCCUCGGUGCUACGGUCUCCUCAGGACAGUUCUGUUCAAGUUGUAUGUCUUCAGACCUCACUACUUCUCCUUCGUAGUAUGCCCAUCCAUCCUUGAUGAUUUGCCUCCUCUGGUUGCGGUUGCGUCGUCUUCUUCUUGUCCUGACCUGCUUAGAGUCUUCAACUAUAUAGUUAAGGUCAGUAAAAUAGCGGCGUACCUUCUCAGAGGGGAAGUGCAUGUGGACUUCUCUGGUUCCAAUGUAGAUGAUUGCUUUAACGGUGCUGAGGAACGGUCUUCCAAUGGUGAUGGGUGGAUUGUACUCGUCUUCUCCCAUGUCAAUAACCUUAAAAUCAUCUAGAGCUGAAUGUAUGUUGGUUGUAGGGACAUGGUUCCAUGCAGGAGCUGAUAGAUGGCUGCGGCCAUUAUGUUAAUGCCUGAUCCGGUGUCGCAAAGCGUCUUGUGCAAGUUGUAUCCAUUAAUGGAGCACUGAAUGCUUGGCAUACUUAGGUCAUCCUUUUUGGUCAGGAACGGUGACUUAAGUUGACGAUCUUGACCUCCUUGAACUGCAGUGACCAUCUUAGCUGACUUGGUCCACAUUUGCUUGUUCCUGUUCCUCUUGUUGGUCCUUCCUUGGUUCAUGUCAGGAUUGCUCUAAGAUUUGUGUAGUCUUUUUCUUGAAGGAAAACGUCUCUUUCUUCCCCUCGAUGUAGAAACUGAUCUUGGCAGCACUAGCGUAGAUGACAACUCCCGAGGUGUUCAGGAAUGGUCUCCCUAGGGCAUAAUGUUGACGCUGGAGCCAAAGUCGCAGAGUGCUUCUGGGAAGUCCACCAUGCCGAUGGAGAUCGGGAUGAUGGGGUGUCCUGGAUCGCCUCUCUUGACUAGUAGAAGGUCAGUAAUUACUUCCACAACGGGGUUACUCCAGUAGUUAUGUCCUCAAGCAUCUCAGGGCAGUGAUUGCCUGAGUGUCCAGUACCUCCAGUGUGUUUGUGCUUGUAGAUCUAGGUUCAUCACUUGGUGGAGUCUGGGAGUUGUAAAAGUCCUCCAUAUUUUGCUUGAAGUGUACCUGCUCAUAGAGACAAGGCAGAGAUCAAGUGCAUGGGCCCUGUUGGUGGAAAACACCAACAGAACCAAAAGGGUAUUCGUUCUCUCUAACCUUAAGCAUAGUGAGCAAGACAAAGUUGAUGGAUAAUAAGAUCAUGAAUGUAGCAUUUAAAACAUUUGUCAGAUCAGAUCGCUCAACCUAAUGGAAAGAUAAUCUAUCUAUACUUAUGUUUUUUAUAUAUAUCUUCCAAAGAUUGAGUGUAUAACAUUAUAGCUUAUAUGAUUAGGAGUGUGGAAUCACAAAGGUGGAAGGACUAAACAUGUUGAAUCGAUUGGGUUGGUUAAUCUAGAGUUGUAAAUCAUACAUGUUUGUCUCUUUUAUUCAAGUGAAUGCCAGAAUCAAGGAGAAGCUUAUAGAAGUGAUAGUCAAGUACCUUAAGAUGUUACCUUACUUGAAGAGUGAUGGUACAGUAUCACCUUGUGGAAGCUUUCCUCUCUUAGCGGUUGUGCAUUGUGUUUGUGGCACCUCCAUGGAUCAUCUCUUGUGAGCUAUGCCUUCCUUGUGUAAAUUGUUAACCUUCAUGCGUCUCUCUCUUUGUCUCCAAUGUGAGUUUGUCUCAGGACCUCCCAGGUUGACAUUGAAAGUUUUCCUGCAGGGGUUAAUCCAACAAAAUAUCCAAUAUCUACUAUAGCAUACUAUUGGCUCAAAGAUCAACCUAGACACCAUGUCUAAUUUGAUUUAGGAGGGCAUUUUAACCUAAGCACCAUGCUUAAUUUAAAACCCCUUGGUAGUAAGAUCAUCAUUCCUAAACUAAGCACCAAGCUUAAUUAAGAGAUAAAUGAAACUACUCCAAACCUAAACAUAUACUAAUGCAAAUAAAGGUAGCAUGAGAGCAUUUAUAGAGAUCUACUCAAGUGGAGAUGAAGUAGUGUGAUUACUAUUUAACAAAUUGAGCAUGUCUCAAAGGUAGGGACAACCAACAUAGCAACAUGGCAAAUGAUGUUUUUAUAUAAAGUACUCCCCCAAGCUUGAAUUUUGCAAAAUUCAAGUUUGGAUGAAUUUAAUUCAAUGUUGUAUGAUGAUUGGUUGGACAUACCUUGUGCUUGUCAUUCAUCCGAUCUUCUUGCUCCAAACCUGGAAAGGUUAGUGACAAGAAUACCCGAAGGAAUAUUUUUACAAUUAUCCUUAUAUGCUCAACACACAAGGUAAUGUUGCAAAUAAUUAAAAGCUCAUGUUACAGUCUGAUCAGUGCUUGUUUUAGGACACUAAGCUUGUCCUUAGGAAACCAUCGAUUUAUGUCAGUGAACUGGCUUCCCCUCCAAUGCUGACCUAUAUCAAGAUCAACUCAACGAGAUCUGCAAAAUUUAUUAUAGACAUAUGCAUCGACAACCGCCCUUUUAAAGUUUUUAUGAAUAGAAAGGAAGAGGGGGUUGGAGAUCUCGAAUGUGGUGAUGUUGGAGAGACCAAUGGAUUGUGAAGAUGUUGCAUAUGAGCAUGGAGUAAAUGAAGUGGCUAUGAAAUAAAUUCCAUGCUCAUUAAUGCUUAGAGUGAAAUCCAUGUGGUAUGGUGAAAGUGAUAAGGUGAGUGUGGUAAAAAAGGAAAAGAAAAAGGAUACACGGACGACUUGGUUCGAAACUAGCACAGCUACCGUUCCCCGGCAACGGCGCCAGAAAGCUUGUUGGGUAUUUUAAACGCAAACAGAAAAAUCCGCAAGCGCACGGAUACCUAUGUAGCUUUCACCCGGGAGUAUUCCAGAGUAUCGAUUUUCCACAGAGAACGUGAGUGUACGAAUUAAGAUCCAAGAUCGCCCAAGGAUAACUAUAUAAUUAUUUUUGGUGGGAAGAGAGGUAGUUUCCUGAGAGUUCUCUAGUUGAUCUAAGAAUCAAGAAUUACUUCAAGAUUAUCUAUAUCAGGACAUCAGAGCACUAACCACAGAAAGAGAUGAGAAGGGGGCUAGGAAGGUCUGACUACGGUCCUACAAACACCGAUCCGAACGUGGUGGAAUACGUCGACCGUUAGGGCUGUCACUACCCUAAGGCUACCACAACAAUCCGCAGGAUUGGGUGCAAUUCCAGGUAAUCGCAAGACUAAACACCACGUCUAAUCUAUUAAUUACUACUCUAGCGUUAUAAAGACUAGAGCACUUGAUGCAAGCGGGAAUCCAAUAAAUAACUUGAAUGUAAAUAAAAGUAAUUAAAGAACUCAGGAAUUAUGAAUUGAAGAACUUGGAGAACGAUGAAGAACGAACCAGAUGCUGCAAAAGUAUAAUGUUGAGGAAGAUCCGACAGAUCCGGCUCCUCCUCCGCUCUCCUCUUCUCUCUCCCUAUUUUCUAGAUUACAACUAGAACUAACUAGAACUAGAACUAGAGGAACUAGAACUAGAACUAGAUGAACUAGAACUAGAUCUAGAUGAACUAGAGGUAGAACUAGAAGAACUAGAGGGAUCCUCUCUACUUGGAUGAAGAAUUGAAACCCUAGCUUUGAUUCUGUAGAAGAGGUAUGAUCUCCAGGGGCCAGGGGGGUCUGGUUUUAUAGUCCCUUCAAGUGAAUCUGGGCCGUCGGAUCAAACCGACAUUGAUCGUGUGGUUUUCCUUGAAGUAUUAGGUCGGUGGAGCAUGAUCCCCGAACUUCACCCUGAUUGGUGGAAAGAGGUGGGCGGGCGCCCUCAGGACUAGGGCGGGCGCCAAGUGCCUGAGCCCUCUCGGCCUCCGCUUCGGUCCCGUGGCUUCUGGAGUCUUCUAGAUGAUAGAAAAUUGCGCGGCACGUUAAUAUCUCUAUGUAAACCCGACGUGUGGGCCUUUCUUCCGUAUUUCCUGAUAACCCCCUGCAGAAAUAGACAAACACCAAAACUUGUGGAAUUCUGUCAGAUAAAACCCUAAGUCUAGGUGUUGGUUGCAUUUGGAUCCUUUUCUAUGAUUAGUUGAUUGUUAAAUGUGAGCAUUAAGGACCGUCAAUACCUACCACAGCCAUACUUGCUAUAACAUCUUUUACUAUAUUGACAUUGAGUUUGAUCGAGCUGUGUAGACCCUUAGGAGCUUUUCAUGUGGUUAAAUUAAGAUAUUCACUUGCACACAUCCACUACACCAUUCACCACCAAUCAUUAAGAUUGCUAAAAAUAUUAUCACUCACUGUCCCAAGUGUUGUUAUUCUCUCUCUCCAAUAAGAUUCAAUGCAGAAGAGGCAUGGGUUAUGCAAAAAUAUAUGAGGAAAUAAAAGGGGGCAAGUGCCCGGAACCUCGAAAAAGAAAGAAAAGAGUGAGACGAGAGGUAAAAAUGGACAAGUGACCGAAGUAGAAUUAGGGGUACAAAGAUGCCCACUUGAGCCAAAAAAUGGACAAGUGUCCGAUAGUAGAAUUAGAGGUAUCUACUACCCACCUGAAAAAAAAAGAGAAAAAAGAAAAGAGAUAGCCCAUGUUCUCCCAAAGCAAAGAUCAAAGAAGAGGAGAGAUAGCAAUAUGAGGAGCAAUGAGAAGUAAGUUUUAUCAUCACUUAUACAUUUUUAUCAUCACUAUCAUUUACUCCACCACACAUGCACAUUUUCAUUUAAUUAUAUGUUGAGUUCCUUUGGAUCCAUGGCUCGAUUAGACAACAUAUGUAUGAGCUGUUUUUCACUCCUAUGAGCUCCACUUAAAUAUUCCAUUAGCUAUAGGUAAGUGACAUUUUGGUAAGGAUCCACAAAUGCCACAUAUAGAGAGACUUGAGAGAAUCAUUGCUGGGAACUCUGAGUUUUAUUUUUGAAAACUUAUGCAAAACCCCAGAACAAAGGUGAAGUAUAGACAGGAAGAAUAGUGCUUGACUUAAUUAUUUUGUCUUUUGAUUACUUAAGACUUAAGUGCAGGUACUAAGCUCCAUAACACUUCACUCUAAUCUGGAAGAAUUUUUAUGUAAAAGCAUGUGUGCCUAUCAGGAAAGAAAACAUCGAAGCAACUCCUGCUCCAUCUGGGUUUAGUUGUUUGCUUAGGGACGAGCAAAGGGUAAGCUUGGGGGAGUUUGUUGAUGGUCCUUAAGUACUAAAUUUAACCUUCAAAUAAACAAAGAAAAGGAUCUAAAUGAAACAAACAUCUAGAAUUAGGGUUUUGUCUGACAGAAUUCCACGAGCUUUGGUGUUUAUCUUUUUCUGCAGGGGGUUAUUAGAAAAUAUGGAGAGAAGGCCCACAUGUCAUGUUUACAACGAGAUAAUUACGUGCCGCGCAAUUUUCUACCAUAUAGAAGAAUCUAGAAGCCACAGGAACGAACGGGAAGGCGAUCGGGCCCGGGAGCAGGGCGCCCGCCCUCCCCCCUAGGGCGCCCGCCCAGGUGUUGUGUCCAAUCCCGUCCAACUUCGUGGAUUAUGCUCCACCGACCUAAAGGAUCAAGGAAAACCGUGUGAUCAAUGUCGGUUUGAUCCGACGGCCCAAAUUCACUUGAAAGGACUAUAUAAUCAAGGCCUCUCUAUAAUACCCGAUUUUAAGGAUAAAACCAGAUAUGCACCAUAUGUGAGUCUUAGAAGUCAAAUCUCACAUAUAGCUACAAAUAAGGGGUAAUAUCAAAAGACAAUGCAUAAAUAUAUAACGUACUUAGUAUAAAAGAGAUAAUCUUUAAUAGCAAACAGCGGAUAGACAACUCCAACUUCGGGUAUUAACUUGUCUCUACAGGAUCCAACUGACUGGUUGAUCACAAGCCUAAACUUCUCCUGAGGUUUGGGAGAAAUAGUAAGAGUGAGUCCAUGUCGGACUCCACAAGUAUAGCAACUAGAUUGUAUAGCUCCCACAAUCUCAUGAUCAAUGUGACAUAAAUCAUGUAAAGCAUUAAACAAUAAACAAUGAGCAUAAUUAACACACAAGAAUCAUCACCCUUAAUGUAGAUGUCCCCAAGGCCGCUCCUGACCGUGAGCUCGGCUAGUAUACUAGUUUUUAACCCUCUGCAGAGGUUGCACAUCUUUACCCAUGAGUCAUGAUUUACCCUUUCGCCCGAGGUAGCUAAUCUCUUAACCCCCUUCCUAGGGAGGUCGGCAGGGAUCACUAUGAAGUCUUUCAAAGGUUUGUCUAACCAGUUAGGGCUACUUGGUUUCAUUAGUCAGUCCGUGUGAUUCACCCGCAGGAAUCCACGGUCUGCUAUUCCCCAAUUGCGCCACAACGGGUAACCGCUAACGAGCUAGAAAAGUUACUCAUACUUAACUAAAGCCAGAGCCAUUAUAGCCCUCAUGGUUGCACUGUUGUCCUGGGUGAUCACGUACAGAUAAAUCAUCAAGUUGCUAAAAAGUCAUUUUUACCGUUUAUUACUUAACAUUAAUCUAGUCACACGAUCAUGGUCACAGAAAUAAAAUCCAAAUGCUAUACUUGCCUUAAUCCAAAUGCUCUUGUUGAUCCUUUUGGUUCUGCUGAUCCUACUUGUCCAAGGCUCUGAUCUUGAUCACUAAAGCACUCUUGAUCACCACGAAUUGCUUAUCGUCUAAACUCGAUCAUCGAUCACACAAACAAACGGAGAAAACAUACACGAAGUAAACAAGGCUACAAUUAGAACAGUACACUAAUCAUAUAAAAACAGUAUGAAAAGUUUAUAAAAAGAUUCUACGCGUCGCUACGAUUUCAUAGACGUAAAGAUCAUGAAAAACAGAGUUAAAACGGGAAAGUUAUGAAUUUUCUAAGAUUUUAUAUAGAAAAGUAAUUAAUUAAAUAGAGUCAUGAAAUUAAAAAGUUUCAAACUGAGAAAACAGUGAUUCUAACAUGUAGAGCUCACUAAUACGAAUCCAACGCAAUUUGAAUGGGUCGAAUCGGAUUUAAAACAAAGAUUUUAUGGCUAAAACUGUUUUAGUGGCAAACUUGUAAAUACUGGAAAGCGUAUUUUCACCUAAGCCAAUCCAGAAUACGUCUUUGGACUUUGGAAACGUAAAUGGGGAAUACGUAAAGGACCGCGGGUUCUAUUUGGAAGAACUUCAAGGGCUCUUUAACAAAAAUGCUAGGCGAAGGGGUACGGUCUAUUUUCAUCCGUUGGAUUUCGAUCUGAUGGUUGAGAAUCGCUCCAGGGAGAGGAAGAAAGGGCGUCAGCGACGCACAGUAACGUGACGGCGGCGCCAUGGCCGGAACAGGCCGGAGCCUCGCCGGAGCUUUACCAGACCCCGUUUCCGACCUCGGUUUUCGACGGGAUUAACGCAGGGAGAUAGAGGGACUCAAGGCGAACUCACCCAGGGCAAAACGUGAAGGCGAGGAGGGCUCGGAGAUGACUGGCCACGAAACCCGGCGGACGGCGGUGCUUAUGUGAAGUUCGGCGAACAAUUGAGCAUCACAGAGAGGGAUAAAAAGCUCAUGGAAUGCACAGGGAGGUUCAGGACCGUACCACGAAGCUCGGCUUCCACUUGAUUUCGUCGGAGCGGCUGCGUAUGGCAAGAACCAAGGCGGCGGCUUCUUCUCCUCGCGGUGAGAUCCAAACGGCAGCUCAGAGGUGGAAUUUUGGGCUAGGAAAUAGCGCAUGGAUGGAAAGAAAGAUGCAGCGGGGGUCAUGAAGCCUUAUAGGGCAGCUUGGUUUGCUCUGGGCAAGAAAUCCCAGAGAAAUCGGGAUCGGAUGCGCCCCUGGGAGAGUCCCGGUCGGCAACGACGGGAGGAAGAAGAGGGUACCGCUGACAUGUGGGACCGGGCUGCAGUGAGAGAGAAAGGAGAAAGGGGGGCGCGGGCUUGUCUAGCUGGGCCACGCGUUGGGCCGGAGCGAGGGGGAAGAAAAGGGGAAGGGCGGGGUGUGCGGCUUGGGCCGAUUUCGGCCGCGAUGGCGCCACUGCGCGAGUUGGGCCUGAGAGGGGAGCUGGGCUUUUGGCCGGGAACAGGGAGAGGGAGAGUUUCUGUUUUUUUUUCAUUUUUCUUUUAUUCCAAAAGCCAUUUGAAACUCAUUUCAAAAUCCUUUUAAAUCAUUUGGAGUUUUGAGUUCAAAUACACUCAGCACAAUAAACAAAAUGCAGGAGCAUGAGUGCACAAAAAUAUUGCUACACCCUAUGAUAAAUUUUAUUUUGAUGAAGAAUAUUAUUUCCUAUGUUUCAUGAGCACCAAAAAUUCAUAAUUAAAUCAUUUUAACUCUAUUUCCCAGAAAACAAUUUUUUUAGGGUGUUACAAAUCUACCCCCUUAAAAUGAAUCUCGUCCUCGAGAUUCGAAAGAGACACGGAUUCCAAAAGAGAGACAAGAACAAGAUCUUGAUAUCUAUUUCAACUUCACAACUUGUAUUCCAAUGUAAACACUCAUGUCUCGGGAUCACAACUUGUAAACAAAACAUCCAUAAAAUGUCUAUUAUUCAUAGCUGAUUAAAAACCAUCUUGACUACCAACUUUUUGACUUAUACAACUCAAAGACAUGAUAACUUAGCAUAGAUAUGCCUCCUCAUGUAGGAGUGGACCAUCUUGAUACUCAAUUCUUUUCCCUGAUGGUGCGGUUAAGAAAAGUUUCCACUGGGUAGCAUAGAUCACUACCUUGUGUGCACAUAACCAUCCAUUGCCAAGAACCAAAGGAAUAUUGAGUGACUCUAGCACAAUGGGGUUUACUGUGAAGUUCUCCUUGCUUAUGACCAGAUUAAUAUUCGAGCAAACCUAGUCUGCCUGUAUUUCUCCCUUUGGAGUUUGAACUAACAAAGGCUUCCUUGUUGGACACUUCCCCCGUUCAAUUGUUUUUACCAAGUUGGCAGAAAUGAAAGAAUGGGAAGCACUUCGGUCAAAUAGAGCAAAAACCAACACUGAGUCCACUUGAACAUAACCACCCACCACUUUGGUGACUCCUUGAAUGUUAUUCAUAUCCACAUUGUUCAGUCUUCCAUUGAAAUAAUUUUGCUGUACUUUAUUUCCGUGAGCAGGCUUCUUACGGGCUUUCCUUUUUCGCUUCCGUCGUUGUGGAUUCUGAUUUGAUUCAAUGUCAACUUGCUCUUCCGUAUUAUUACUUUGAUAACACUCAGCUUUGUCAUACUCAUAGCAUCUUUCUUCAAAGGCAAGAUGAUCAUAUUCUUCCCACCUAUCCAUGAGAGGUGUCAUAUUGUGCUCCGGAUCCAUGGGACACUACACUCCCUGUCAUCAAGUGACCAACGUCAGUAACACGGCAAGGAUAGAUGAUCAUAACCAUAGAAUAUCUCAGAAGACAAUUAUCACUUCAAGCUAGUUUUAAAAUGCAUCACCCGUGAUAUCAAGGUAUUACCCCCCCCCUUAAAAUUAGAUUGAUUGGGGGACACUAGGGACUAGUUCUCCUAUCCUUUUUGGAAUCCACACAUCAUAGUCUUUUACAUUCGUGGUACCGAGUCUCUUGAUCCAACAUUAUCCAAUUCUUCUCCAUGUAACCCCUUUAUUUAGGCUACCCCCCUUGAGAAAGGUCAACUAGGGGACCAAGAAAGGUAGCUUGCAUGUUUUCCAGACAGGUUAACUAGCAUUGAAAACAUCUGACAUCCCAAAGAACUUUUGUGCAAGAGAACAAACAGGAUUCCUGAAAUUUUCUCGUGAUAUGAAAGCACCAGCAUAGUAAAACAGGUAUAACUCUUAUUCUGUUAGUCCAAUAGAGUUGUCGCUUAUACCUUUAGAAAGCUUAUGAAAUUCCCUACAACUUUCAUAUAGAAUGCUUCCUUAGAUUCUGUAUUUAAGCUUAGGUAAAACAACCAAACAUAAUAUCCUUCCUGAUAAUGUCUCAGCAAAGGUGCAGUAACUUUCAGAAAUUAUAUCCCAAGCUACUUAACUCAUCUGGAGAUGAUCCUUACAUUUUUGAAAAUCUUAGAAAAUCCUCUACAACUUUCGUAUACAACUUUUUCCCAGAUUCUGAAUUUAACUUGACUGAAAAUAGGAAAUGCCAGAUCUGUCCAGAUUUUGAAACAGAACAGAAACAUCCAAUUGAAAAUAUCAUAUCUCAGGUUCUACUUAUCCAAAUAAGUCCCAGCUUAUACUGUUGGAAAUCUUAGAAAAUUUUCUACAACCUUUCUAUAGAACACUUUUCCAAAUUCUAUAGUUAUAUUUGUCUUAAACAGUAAGCAACCAAAACUGAUCCAGGUUCUUGACAGCACAGUUGUAUCAUCUUGUGAUUUUUGUAACUUCCAAACCAUAAUAGCUAUUAGGGUGAUUCUUGCAGUCAGGGAAAGAUCUUGAAGUUUAUUUGUUCUCAGAAAAAUUUGACAAACUUUGCAUGAACAGAACAUGAGAUACACCGGCAUUAUGGCAGACUGCUCCAAAAUCAGCAAGGGAUAGAAACAAGAGAUAGCCAAACCCAACUACUUAUUUCAUUAAUCCUUAUGCCUUAGGUAUAUAAACUAAUGAAAUUGUGGAGAAAUCCCACAAGAUCAUUGCAAUCAUUACAAAGAUCCAAAUCAAGCAUAAGCAUAAUAACAAACCAACUAAGCACACUUUACUCAACUUGCGAUACUAUCGUUCUCUUCAUAGAAGGGCAAAGAUCCUAAAACACCUAUUCCAAUGAUGCCAGAAGGUGGUAAGAAAAAGUUCUAAAAGCAUAUCAAGCAAGGAGUGGGGAUGAGAACAAGUACCUUUAAAAUAAGCAACAAGGUAGAGACAAAUAGCAAGGAUAGGGAUAUAGUAUGGAUGAAAAUACCAAGGUUUAUAGAGCAAAGAUUUUAUGACAAUUCUAAAACCUUAAGACGGCCAAUUACUAACUAGGCUUGCGUCCUACGGUCAGCAUUGCUUUGAUACCACUUUGUAAUACCUGAUUUUAAGGAUAAAACUAGAUAUGCACCAUAUGUGAGUCUUAGAAGUCAAAUCUCACAUAUAGCUAUAAAUAAGGGGUAAUAUCAAAAGACAAUGCAUAAAUAUAUAACGUACUUAGUAUAAAAGAGAUAACCUUUAAUAGCAAACAGCGGAUAGACAACUCCAACUUCGGGUAUUAACUUCUCUCUACAGGAUCCAACUGACUGGUUGAUCACAAGCCUAAACUUCUCCUGAGGUUUGGGAGAAAUAGCAAGAGUGAGUCCAUGUCGAACUCCACAAGUAUAGCAACUAGAUUGUAUAGCUCCCACAAUCUCAUGAUCAAUGUGAUAUAAAUCAUGUAAAGCAUUAAACAAUAAACAAUGAGCAUAAUUAACACACAAGAAUCAUCACCCUUAAUGUAGAUGUCCCCAAGGCCGCUCCUGACCGUGAGCUCGGCUAGUAUACUAGUUUUUAACCCUCUGCAGAGGUUGCACAUCUUUACCCAUGAGUCAUGAUUUAUCCUUUCGCCCGAGGUAGCUAAUCUCUUAACCCCCUUCCUAGGGAGGUCGGCAGGGAUCACUAUGAAGUCUUUCAAAGGUUCGUCUAACCAGUCCAUGUGAUUCACCCGCAGGAAUCCACGGUCUGCUAUUCCCCAAUUGCGCCACAACGGGUAACCGCUAACGAGCUAGAAAAGUUACUCAUACUUAACUAAAGCCAGAGCCAUUAUAGCCCUCAUGGUUAAACUGUUGUCCCGGGUGAUCACGUACAGAUAAAUCAUCAAGUUGCUAAAAAGUCAUUUUUACCGUUUAUUACUUAACAUUAAUCUAGUCACACGAUCAUGGUCAUAGAAAUAAAAUCCAAAUGCUAUACUUGCCUUAAUCCAAAUGCUCUUGCUGAUCCUUUUGGUUCUGCUGAUCCUACUUGUCCAAGGCUAUGAUCUUGAUCACUGAAGCACUCUUGAUCACCACGAAUUGCUUAUCGUCUAAACUCGAUCAUCGAUCACACAAACAAACGGAGAAAACAUACACGAAGCAAACAAGGCUACAAUUAGAACAGUACACCAAUCAUAUAAAAACAGUAUGAAAAGUUUAUAUAAAGAUUCUACGCGUCGCUACGAUUUCAUAGACGUAAAGAUCACGAAAAACGGAGUUAAAACGGGAAAGUUAUGAAUUUUCGAAGAUCUUAUAUAGAAAAGUAAUUAAUUAAAUAGAGUCAUGAAAUUAAAAAGUGUCAAACUGAGAAAACCGUGAUUCUAACAUGUAGAGCUCACUAAUACGAAUCCAACGCAAUUUGAAUGGGUCGAAUCGGAUUUAAAACAAAGAUUUUAUGGCUAAAACUGUUUCAGUGGCAAACUUGUAAAUACUGGAAAGCGUAUUUUCACCUAAGCCGAUCCAGAAUACGUCUUUGGACUUUGGAAACGUAAAUGGGGAAUACGUAAAGGACCGCGGGUUCUAUUUGGAAGAACUUCAAGGGCUCUUUAACAAAAAUGCCAGGCGAAGGGGUACGGUCUAUUUUCAUCCGUUGGAUUUCGAUCUGAUGGUUGAGGAUCGCUCCAGGGAGAGGAAGAGAGGGCGUCGGCGGCGCACAGUAACGUGACGGCGGCGCCACAGCCGGAACAGGCCGGAACCUCGCCGGAGCUUUACCAGACCCCGUUUCCGACCUCGGUUUUCGACGGGAUUAACGCAGGGAGAUAGAGGGACUCAAGGCGAACUCACCCAGGGCAAAAUGUGAAGGCGAGGAGGGCUCGGAGAUGACUGGCCAUGUAACCCGGCGGACGGCGGUGCUUCUGUGAAGUUCGGCGAACAAUUGAGCAUCACAGAGAGGGAUAAAAAGCUGAUGGAAUGCACAGGGAGGUUCGGGACCGUACCACGAAGCUCGGCUUCCACUUGAUUUCGUCGGAGCGGCUGCGUAUGGCAAGAACCACGGCUGCAGCUUCUUCUCCUCGCGGUGAGAUCCAAACGGUAGCUCAGAGGUGGAAUUUUGGGCUAGGAAAUAGCGCAUGGAUGGAAAGAAAGAUGCAGCGGGGGUCAUGAAGCCUUAUAGGGUAGCUUGGUUUGCUCUGGGCAAGAAAUCCUGGAGAAAUCGGGAUCGGAUGCGCCCCUGGGAGAGUCCCGGUCGGCAACGACAGGAGGAAGAAGAGGGUACCGCUGACAUGUGGGACCGGGCUGCAGUGAGAGAGAAAGGAGAAAGGGGGGCGCGGGCUUGUCCAGCUGGGCCACGCGUUGGGCCGGAGCGAGGGGGAAGAAAAGGGGAAGGGCGGGGUGUGCGGCUUGGGCCGAUUUCGGUCGCGAUGGCGCCACUGCGCGAGUUGGGCCUGACAGGGGAGCUGGGCUUUCGGCCGGGAACAGGGAGAGGGAGAGUUUCUAUUUUUUUCAUUUUUCUUUUAUUCCAAAAGCCAUUUGAAACUCAUUUAAAAAUCCUUUUAAAUCAUUUGGAGUUUUGAGUUCAAAUACACUCAGCACAGUAAAUAAAAUGCAGGAGCAUGAGUGCACAAAAAUAUUACUACACCCUAUGAUAAAUUUUAUUUUGAUGAAGAAUAUUAUUUCCUAUGUUUUAUGAGCACCAAAAAUUCAUAAUUAAAUCAUUUUAACUCUAUUUCCCAGAAAACAUUUUUUUUAGGGUGUUACACCCUCCACCCCAGGGGGAGAGAGGAGAAAUCAUUAUGAGAGGUAGCCAUCAAAGUUAGGGUUUAGACAUCUCUCCCCAGAGAAUUAGAAUUAGCUACUCCCUAAUCCUUAAAGUUUAGAGGAUUGAUUAGAUAGCAAUUAGAGAAGUAGAGCACUACGCUCUGGAUUCGGAUCUUCGGUAAUAAAGAUUGGUAUUAUUUCAUAUCUUUCUCUAAUACUUUGUUCUAAUUGUAUUAUGUCUCUAUUUAUUAUGCUCUUAGUUUGCUCUAGUUCUAUAUUUGAUAUAGUUAUGAUUGAUAAUGUGUUUAUGUAUAAGUUUGCAAAGCGCUUAGCUCUUGACGCGAGAGAGUUAAGUGGUAGAUCACAUGUAGGCGUGGUGCUUAGAUAUUAUUUACCUGCAAAUGUAUCCUAUUGGCCAGGUCGUGUGGUAGUUCGCGAUAGUGACAGCUUCGUUGAUUCUUAUAUAGUCCACCCUCCGUUGAUAGGACAGGCAGAAUUUGUAUUGUGGAGUAAGUCUUGGGAUGUUCUGAUUUACUUUAGCAAUGUUCCUUUUACAUGAAUGAAGAGUCUUUUAUGCUAUAUAUGAUCUUGUAGAUAACUAGAGUAGAUUGUGACUUAGUAGAUAGUAGAUAACUUAGAAUCCAUUCUCUAGCUAAUCCGACGUCACCUUACAUAUAUGAGGAGUAGUCUAUUUUCUAAUGGCUGUGUUAUUUACCCAUGAGCUUAUAUUUCAUUAUCAUUAUUAUUAUGGCUUACCCCCUGCCAAAGUAAGUAACUGUGUGACGAGUUCCUCAUUAGUAAUCAUGUUCUUGCAAGUUUAUCUCUAAUCUAUGCCUUGAUAGAUUUAUCCUUAUCUUCAUUUAAUCCUUUUCUCCUGAGCAAAAUUAUAAAUAACGAUACCUGGAAUACUUACCUGGUGAAAUGCUACAAUGAGGUGUUUUAUCUGUGCGCUUGCGGAUAGAAUAGAUUAUUUUCUAGAGAGCCUUUACAUGUAUAAAUACCUUUGUACACUCUGGCACCAUGCUGGGGAUGACAACCUAGUAUCUAAGUGGUGUUAGCUAGUGUCAACACUAGUCACCCCUAAAAACUAACACCAACACAUUUAGCAUCAGUUUUGUAAGAACCGAUAGGGAUAAUUCCCACUAUUGGUUCAAAGGCAGGUCGGGCAUGGUGGGGUGCAAUACCGAUGGUGAAAAUUAUUUUAACUAUCGGGUUGGCAUAUGAUUUGGUGGUGAAAAACCCCACUAGUUAUCACCUCCAGAUCAUACAUUGCAAUAAAAGUGAAAAUAAUUUUCACCUCCUAAUUUUUUGACUACUACUCCACACACUAACAAACCGAUAGAGGAAAGAAGUUUCUCCACUGGUGUGAAGGUAGACAGGCACAAUGGUCAUUUGAGCUAGCGGUGGAAAUUGUUAUCACCAUACCACUGGCUCAGGGAUGGACUGGUGGUGAAAAUCACCACAGCUUCCACCACUGAAUCAUCCGCCAAGAUGGUGGUGAUAACAAUUUUCACCACCACUUUGUUUAGCCACUACAUUCCACCUACAAUGACCUAGUUAUGUUGUCGGUGUUUAACAACCAACAACUUGUCAUGGGGUUACCUAGGACAUAGUUUGAGGGACUUCGGCGUAUGAUCCAUCAGUGAAAACCGCCUAGAAUAAAACCGCUUUUCCCUCCUAUUCCUCAGCACUCCCUCUAACUUCAUAUCUUUCAAGAAAAAUACUUGUGAAGCUUCUGUGGCUACAUUGAAAGGAUCAUUCUUAUACCAUAGGCCUGGGAUGUUAAUGCUCUUGAAGUAACCAUCAUCUUUCAUCUGGUAUGUCCUUCCCUCAAGAUGGUGCCAUUCGCACCAUAAUAAGAUAACAGUUCUCUGCCCUCUACUGUCUUUAGUAAUUCAACUCGAUAAUGUCUAUGAUUGUCCCAUGGAAGUCAAAGUGUCAUCAUUGUGAGUACCUGUAGAUUUGAUGGUGGAGUUUUGUGUCUUCAUGUGUUCUUCACGAGCCAAAGUGUAUUGUCAUGCAUUGAUCCUCCUCACUCCAUGACACAUCUUGAUAUAUUGGAAGCAUAACCAUUUGGAAAUUUAACAUUGCUCACAAACUGCAAGAACUUCUUCUUUGCUUCAGUUUGUAGAAUGUAACAAGCUCUAGGCUUAUUUGAGUCUCCUACCAAAUGAAGUUUUUUUCUUAUAUCUCUAUCUUCCAAACCUAGUCUAGCAACAAUUGUGUCCUUAAUCUUAUUUGGAGUAUUAAGUAGAGUGUGCAAAAUGUUUUCACAUAUGUUUUUCUCUACAUGCAUAACAUCAAGGUUGUAUUGUAGCUUUAGUUUUGGCCAAUAUCGCAAAUCAUAGAAGCUAGCCUUCACAUGCCAAAUUGGUUCUCCUUCACGGCAGCGUUUUCUAGAUUUCUGUUGUUCUAGAUUCUUGCUUGGAACAUAGCAAACUUCAUCCAACCUUGCCAUGACCUCGUCUGCACUAAAUUUCCUUGGCUGCUCUCUUUUUCAUGCUUGCCAUUGAAAGAUUUGUUUUUUCUCCAUUCAUGGUCAUUAGGGAGGAAACAUCUAUGGUCUAUGAAACCAAUUUUGUUUCUAAGACAUUCAGAGCAAGGAUUCUCAUCACAGUGCACACAUAUGAAGUAACCCCUCGUGGUUCUACCUAACAUAGUACCUAAAGUAGGGUAGUCAUAGAUUCCACAUAGAAACUCUACACACAGAUUGAAAUCUUUGUCUUCAUAUGCAUCAUAAGUAGGGACAAGGUCCCAUAGAGUAAGCAUGUCUUUUGUCAAAGGUUGCAUGAACACAUGGAAAUCUUUGCCUAGUGAUCUUUUGCCUAGAAUUAGUAAAGCAAGCAAAUAAUUUGAUUGGUCCAUACACAUCCACGGUGGCCAAUUGUAUGGAACCACUAUCACUGCCCAGAUACUACAUGAAUUGGUCACCUGACUGAAUGGGUUAAAUCCAUCAGUAGCAAUGGCUAACCUCAAACUACGGGGAUCAUCUACAAAAGACUUGAAAGUAUCAUCAAAUUAUUUCCAAGCUUCUCCAUCAGCAGGAUGUCUCAUUUCAUUCUCAACCGAUCCAUCACUAUGCAUGCUACUUUGACAAAAAGUACCUUGAAAGUGAGGAAUUAUUGGAAAGUAACACACGACCUUGUGAGGAACUUUCUUUCUGACCUCCUUGUUUACUUUCCAUCUUGUGAAGCCACAAAUUGGGCAAUGCUGAUCCUUUGCAUGGUCAUCCCAAAACAAGGCACAGUCAUAUUGGCACACAUCAAUUUUCUCAUAACCAAAACCAAGCUUCCGAAGUAGAGCUUUCACUUUGCUAUAGGACAUAGGGAGACUAAGCACAUUUUUCAUUGAAUUUGAUAGAAACUCAAGGAAUGCGUCGAACCCAGAAUUUGUUAUCCGAUUGUACACUUUUAUAUGCGAUAGUUUAAUAGUAAAACUUAGCCUAGACUCCUCAGUGCAACCUAGAUAAAGCUCACACUUUGCCUCCUCCAUGAUUUGUUUAUAUAAGUUACCACCGAAGCCAUGCCUUUCUAUGGUGUACAAAUAUUGAACCAACCCCUGAACUCCACGUGCACUAUCUUCAAUGACAUCUUGAGCUAAUCCUUCAGCACCAUGCAUGUGGUGGCUAGUAAUUUCCAAGUGGGGUCUGGUCAUUUCCAUCCCAUAACAUAUCUUCAGUACUAACAACAGGGAGUGUGCCAUCAUCAUCUUGUUCAUCAUCAUCUCCCUCUCUAUGGUAAGCCCACCUUGUAUAGCACCUAUAAAAUCAUUGAUGUUGAUAUCCUCCUCUACAUCAACUUGACUAUUUUCUUUUCGGUUCAGGCAGUGACAGCAUGGACACUUGAUUUUCUCAGUUGCACCAAAUCUACUUCUCACAUGUUGCAUGAAUUGGUCAACACCAACAAUAUAGGCUCCAUCAAAUGGUAAGCUCGUAUAAAUCCAACUUUUGUCCAUGCCUUGCUGCAUAAAUUGAUGUGCCACAAUGUUACAAAUCCAUCACCUUGUUACAAUCCAUGUUCUAUCCAUCAGCUUGUGCAAAGUUUCAUAAAAUAAAACCUCACACUACUACACAAAAUCUUUUGCACAACAUUUACAAAUAGACCUCGGAGGUGGGGAUAUUUUUAAACUAACUCGGUUAAUGCCUCAAUUAACCGAGGCGGUUAGAAAAUACCCGCAUCCAAAAAUGCAUUAACCGAGGCGGGCAACAUAAAAAACUGCCUCGGUUAAUGCCCUAUUAAACGUGGCAGUCGUGCUAACGUAACCACCUCGGUUAAUCAAUUAACCGAGGCAGUCAUCUGUAAGGCUUACCUUGGAAUUUUUUUUGAAGAAACAGGAGGGGACAAGUCCCUACUAAAAUUUAUUGAAAGUAGUAGCCCGCUACUGUUUUCUGGCCCAAUAUCUAGCUCUAGCUAUAUAUAUUGAGAAAACUCUAACCUUCGCUACUCCUCCCAAGCGCCACUCUCUCAUCUACCUCGCCCAGUGCCACUAUCCUCUCUCUCUCCCACCGCCGCACACCACCUCUCACCACUUUUCUGAAUAUAUCCACUAGGAGGAGUGCUAGUUCCUCCCCAUCGUGUCCAUCUUGCAUGUAGACCUCUCAAGCACAACCUCUCCUAGACUUGCAUGCACAUGCAAACAAAGUGCCCAAGGAACACGAGAUCCUAAGCCCCCUUAUCAUGACACCCCGCCGCACACCACCUCUCACCACUUUUCCGACUUUAUCCACUAGGAGAGUGCUAGUUCCUCCCCAUCAUGUCCAUCUUGCAUGUAGACCUCUCAAGCACAACCUCUCCCAGACUUGCAUGCACAUGCAAACAAAGUUCCCAAGGAACACGGGAUCCUAAGUCCCCUUAUCAUGACACCCCGCCGCACACCACCUCUCACCACUUUUCCGACUUUAUCCACUAGGAGGAGUGCUAGUUCCUCCCCAUCAUGUCCAUCUUGCAUGUAGACCUCUCAAGCACAACCUCUCCCAGACUUGCACAUGCAAAGUGCCCAAGGAACACGUUAUCCUGAGCCCCCUUAUCCUCCAUGAGGCCGGGCCCACUUACAUCUGGUAGCUUUUCUAGGACAUAGUCAGUCCCCACAGACCAACACUAGUAUUUUCUGCACACUUUGUCCUCACUCGUGCGCACCCGAGAAGUACUUCCCGGUCGGUCACCCAUCCCUAAAUUUCUCUAGGCCAAGCACGCUUAACUUUAGAGUUCUUUGAAGAUGGGUGUCGGCGUCUAGACUCGUGGUCUAGGCACAAACAAGUAUAAGAUUGCGUGACUACCUAAGCCUGGAUGGUGAUGCAAAUGAAACACAGAGAAUUUAUACUGGUUCGGGCCAAGAAUGCCCUACGUCCAGUGAGAUCGGGGGGUCUGUAUAACCUUGCACCCAAAGGUGCUUGUAGUAGAGGGGUACAAGCGGGUUGCGAGAGAGGGCUAAGUCCCAAGUCUCGGCUUUGUGGCGGACAGAGCGCUGGUUGCUAUUCUGCGAGUGAGUGUGGUGAGCCUUGUGAACCUGUCUUUAGUUGUGAGCCCUGGCUCCCCUUUUAUAGCCUCAAGGGAAGACAGGUUUUUACAUGAGUAGAUUUCCUCUGUUGAAUGGUGAAGCCACAGUCCCGACCCUGUUGAAGCCGGUCCAUCUCGUCCUUGAGGGAUGGCUGACAGCAUGGCUGCUCUUGUAGAGGGUUACCGAGCCCUGUAAGAGUCAUGGGGGUCGGAUCGGUGAUACUGCUUCUUGUCCUAUUAACUGUGGGAGGAGACAGCAAACAGUGACGCUGAUUAACCUUCCCCACUCCUCUUUCACUGUGAGGCAGUACACCACAGUGAAAGAGGUAAGGUUGCAUAGUGAAAGAGGUAAGGCCACAGUGUCCAGGGUGGUUGGAAUAGUCGCCACCAUGCCCUGCAGUGAUACAGAAGUUACUGCGCCUGUCAUGUCAUGGGAAUGGACGCCGUGCGUCAGAAGCCUUGCCCUGAUCUGGUGGAACGUCGUUUGGCGCCCGAGCCCUGGAGGGGUCGAGUGAGUCGGAACUUACACCCGAGGCCGAGGGGAUCGGGCGAGACGGUGACUGCGUCUGAGCCUCUAGGGGGUCGGGCGAGGCGGAACUUAUGCCUGAGGCCGAGGGGAUCGGGCGAGACGGUGUCUGCGUCCGAGGCCCAGGGGGUCGGGCGAGUCGCGGUUUGGCCUUGAGGCUCAGGAGUCAGAAGAUCUGGGGCCCGUGCCCUGGUGAUUGUGGAUGACUUGUUUUGUCCUUUGCGUUUUUUAUCGCUCUGAUCUGGGUAUCCCCUUUUAUGGUACCCAACAGUAGCCCCCGAGCCUUUGAAGGGGUGAGAUCACCUCUUCAAAGGAUCUCUUCUAAGGGACCAUUGUUGGUCGGGAACCUUUGAAUUCUUCUCCGGAGGGUGCGCGCGAGCGCACCCGCCGGGUGUAGCCCCCGAGCCUUUUGGUGGAAUGGUGUUAUUCCUCCAAAGGCUUUUACCCCUGAGUGAUACGGUCGGGAAUAUUUGAGGGAUAUGUUUGUUGACACUUGCUAACACCACUUGAAUACUAGGUUGUCAUCCCCAGCAUGGCACUAGAGUGUACUAUGGUAUUUAUACGCACACAGAUAAUCCGCAAGCGCACGGAUACCGUUGAAGCUUUUACCCGGUUAAAGGUUUUAUCGUAUCCACAGGGAAACGGGAGAACUGAUCUAUGCUCUAACUUAACCAAGAUAAGUAAAUAGGUGUAAAUAGGAAAGAUGGUAGAAUCGAAUAAGAACAAUAUUAAAGGUAAGAUAACAGUGAGUGAUAAUAUGGGAAUAGAGAAUAAAGCAAUUCUAGUAUAUGGGCGAUGGUAGCAGAAUAGAGAGAAUAACUAUGGUUUCUCUACAUCAAAGGGGUAUGUCUAUGUCUGGGACGAACCACGUGAUAAGAGUACACCACAAAGGAUGCUUAUCCUUAGGCCGAUAAACCCUACCCGUCCUGCUAACGAGAGGUGGACUACAGAGGACCAACGUAACUGUCACCUACGCGGCCUACCACACGAUCCAGCUAGACAGGGGAUAUCCACAAGUAAUCUAGAUCUAAGCACCUCGCUUACACCUAUACUACAACUCUCACCUAUAGCGUCCUAUAGAUUAGAAUACUCAAAAGAGUUGUGAACCAGAACAUACAUGAUUAGUAAUUGCAUAAUGAAUUAGAAGUAGAUUAUCAGAGUCAUCCCAUGAGCAAGCUUGAUUAGAGCUUGAUCAUGACAAAGUACAACCGGAGGAAGAACCGACAGGCCGGCCUCUCCUCUAAUCCUCCUUCGCUCUCCAUCUCGCUACUAUCUAGAUCUACUCUAGUUUAGAGAAGAGAGGAGAGCUCUCAUCUCUAAACCCUAGCUUUUGCUCUAUCUAUGAAUAAUGAAUAAUGAUCAAGGGGUGCCUCCUCCAAGGGCCAGGGGGUCUGGUUAUAUAGUCUUUUUAGAUAAAUCUGGGCCGUCGGAUCAAACCGACAUUGAUCGUGUGGUUUUCCUUGAAGUAUUAGGUCGGUGGAGCAUGAUCCGCGAAGUUGAAGCUGAUUGGUUACUGUAGCUGGGCGGGCACCCAAGGGACUUGGGCGGGCGCCCUGCCCCCGGGCCCGAUCGGCCUCCCGUUCGUUCCCGUGGCUUCUGGAGUCUUCUAGAUGGUAGAAAAUUACGCGGCACAUUAAUAUCUCUAUGUAAACCCGACGUGUGGGCCUUUCUUUCAUAUUUCCUGAUAACCCCCUGCAGAAAUAGACAAACACCAAAACUCAUGGAAUUCUGUCAGAUAAAACCCUAAGUCUAGAUGUUGAUUUCAUUUGGAUCCUUUUCUUUGUUUAUUUGAUAAUUAAAUUUGAUACUUAAGGACCAUCAACAAACUCCCCCAAGCUUACCUCUUGCUCGUCCCUGAGCAAGGAUAGACUCAGCAAUGGAUCAGAAGUUGUUGCAAUAUUUUAAAAAUUUGACGGUACACAUGCUUUUAAAUAAGAUCUCAUCUCUGAGUUAGAGUAAACUGUCAAGAACUAAAACUUACUUACUUUACCUUUCACCAUGGGACUUGUAACCGUCACUUCUGUCUUGAGUAGUUAAAAGAUAGAACAGUCUAGCCAAGUGUCAUGUCUCUUAUCUUGAUCAGCUAUAGCUCUGGAGUUUUUGUAGAUUUUCAAAUAAAACUCAGAGAUUCCUUGUAUGACUCUCUAAAUCUCUCUUUUGUGGUAUCUCUGGAUCCUUACCAAGGCAGUGAUGGUAUAUGCCUUCUCUCAAGAUAUGUGGUAUUUGUGGUAUAAGGCAUAGUGACAUUGCCUUCUCUCUCACCCUACUCUAAUAAGGCUUUAAUAUCUGGAGCUCAUAGGUGGGAGACAGCUAAUACAUACUUACAAGACAUUUGUUGCAUAGUCAAACGAUGGAUCCAGAGAAACAAGUCAAUAAGUCAAAUCAAGAUGUGCAUGUGUGGCGAAUGAAUGGUGUAUGGUGAUGAUGGUGAUAACAAUGGUGGAAGUCUAAUUCUACUUUUGCUCUUUUGAGGGGAUAUAUACCUUCCUUGCUUUUUGAAACUUUAUGAGGAGAAUGAGAUGCUCUAUCUUUCAUUUAUUUCUUUCCUCUUAGGUGGGUAUCCUGUACCCCUAAUUCUACUGUCGGACACUUGUCUAUUUUUACCUCUCGUCUCACUCUUUUUCUUUUCUUUCGAGGUUCCGGGCACUUGCCCCUUUUUAUUUCCUCGUAUAUUUUUUCUCUCCUUUUUUUUAGAGCACUCAUCUCAUGAGAUAAUAUAGCAAGUGGUAGUAGCAAGAUAACUUGAGCAUUUAUUUCACAAGGGAAAACAGAAAUAUUUUUGGCUAUUCUCUCCCGGAUUAGGAGUAGAAUAUUUUUGGGUGGUUCUGGAGAUGGACAUGGAUGGAUAUAUGUGGAUGGUACUUCCGGAGUAGAAGUAGCAUAUAUGAGUGAACGUGCAAGUGAAUCUUGAUUUAACCACAUGACAAGCUCCUAAGGGUCUACAUAGCUUGACCACACUCAAUGCUCAUAAGCAGUAAAUAAUAAAUGUGUGGCUCAAAGUCUAGCAAGCAUGUAUAUAUAUGGUUGUGGUAGGAAUUUAAACUCUCAUCAUACAGGAACUC